rnacentral:rRNA from 1 species
GAGGGGCCCCUCUCGGGUUACCGAAUUCAGACAAACUCCGAAUGCCAAUCAAUUUAACUUGGGAGUCAGAACGUGGGUGAUAAGGUCCAUGUUCGAAAGGGAAACAGCCCAGACCACCAGCUAAGGUCCCAAAAUAUAUGUUAAGUGGCAAAGGAUGUGGUAUUGCCCAGACAACUAGGAUGUUGGCUUAGAAGCAGCCAUCAUUUAAAGAGUGCGUAAUAGCUCACUAGUCGAGUGACACUGCGCCGAAAAUGUACCGGGGCUAAACAUAUUACCGAAGCUGUGGAUUGUCCGUAGGACAAUGGUAGGAGAGCGUUCUAAGUGCGUCGAAGCAUGAUCGCAAGGACAUGUGGAGCGCUUAGAAGUGAGAAUGCCGGUGUGAGUAGCGAAAGAUGGGUGAGAAUCCCAUCCACCGAUUGACUAAGGUUUCCAGAGGAAGGCUCGUCCGCUCUGGGUUAGUCGGGUCCUAAGUCGAGGCCGACAGGCGUAGACGAUGGAUAACAGGUUGAUAUUCCUGUACCACCAUUUAUCGUUUUAAGCGAUGGGGGGACACAGUAGGAUAGGCGAAGCGUGCUGUUGGAGUGCACGUCUAAGCAGUGAGACUGAAUGGUAGGCAAAUCCGCCAUUCUCAAGGUUGAGCUGUGAUGGGGAGAGGAAACAUGUUUUCCUCGAGUCGUUGAUUUCACACUGUCGAGAAAAGCCUCUAGCUAGAUAACUGGUGCCCGUACCGCAAACCGACACAGGUAGUCAAGAUGAGAAUUCUAAGGUGAGCGAGAGAACUCUCGUUAAGGAACUCGGCAAAAUGACCCCGUAACUUCGGGAGAAGGGGUGCUCUUUAGGGUUCACGCUCUGAAGAGCCGCAGUGAAUAGGCCCAAGCGACUGUUUAUCAAAAACACAGGUCUCUGCUAAACCGUAAGGUGAUGUAUAGGGGCUGACGCCUGCCCGGUGCUGGAAGGUUAAGAGGAGUGGUUAGCUUCUGCGAAGCUACGAAUCGAAGCCCCAGUAAACGGCGGCCGUAACUAUAACGGUCCUAAGGUAGCGAAAUUCCUUGUCGGGUAAGUUCCGACCCGCACGAAAGGCGUAACGAUUUGGGCACUGUCUCAACGAGAGACUCGGUGAAAUCAUAGUACCUGUGAAGAUGCAGGUUACCCGCGACAGGACGGAAAGACCCCGUGGAGCUUUACUGUAGCCUGAUAUUGAAAUUCGGCACAGCUUGUACAGGAUAGGUAGGAGCCUUAGAAGCGUGAGCGCCAGCUUACGUGGAGGCGCUGGUGGGAUACUACCCUAGCUGUGUUGGAUUUCUAACCCGCGCCAUUGAUCAUGGCGGGAGACAGUGUCAGGCGGGCAGUUUGACUGGGGCGGUCGCCUCCUAAAGUGUAACGGAGGCGCUCAAAGGUUCCCUCAGAAUGGUUGGAAAUCAUUCAUAGAGUGUAAAGGCAUAAGGGAGCUUGACUGCGAGACCUACAAGUCGAGCAGGGUCGAAAGACGGACUUAGUGAUCCGGUGGUUCCGCAUGGAAGGGCCAUCGCUCAACGGAUAAAAGCUACCCCGGGGAUAACAGGCUUAUCUCCCCCAAGAGUUCACAUCGACGGGGAGGUUUGGCACCUCGAUGUCGGCUCAUCGCAUCCUGGGGCUGUAGUCGGUCCCAAGGGUUGGGCUGUUCGCCCAUUAAAGCGGUACGCGAGCUGGGUUCAGAACGUCGUGAGACAGUUCGGUCCCUAUCCGUCGUGGGCGUAGGAAAUUUGAGAGGAGCUGUCCUUAGUACGAGAGGACCGGGAUGGACAUACCUCUGGUGUACCAGUUGUCGUGCCAACGGCAUAGCUGGGUAGCUAUGUAUGGACGGGAUAAGUGCUGAAAGCAUCUAAGCAUGAAGCCCCCCUCAAGAUGAGAUUUCCCAACUUCGGUUAUAAGAUCCCUCAAAGAUGAUGAGGUUAAUAGGUUCGGGGUGGAAGCAUAGCGAUAUGUGGAGCUGACGAAUACUAAUCGAUCGAAGACUUAAUCAAAUU